UACGUAGGGUGCAAGCGUUAAUCGGAAUUACUGGGCGUAAAGCGUGCGCAGGCGGUUGUGCAAGACAGAUGUGAAAUCCCCGGGCUUAACCUGGGAAUUGCAUUUGUGACUGCACGGCUAGAGUGUGUCAGAGGGGGGUAGAAUUCCACGUGUAGCAGUGAAAUGCGUAGAUAUGUGGAGGAAUACCGAUGGCGAAGGCAGCCCCCUGGGAUAAUAUUGACGCUCAUGCACGAAAGCGUGGGGAGCAAACAGG
rnacentral:rRNA from 1 species